AGAAGUGGAACGCAGAGCAACUAGAGGACGUUGUGAGAUUCACGGAGAUUCUCACCUCCAAAACCAUCAAGGACCUUGAGAUGGUGAAGCUGCUUUGGUUGGACA
rnacentral:ribozyme from 1 species